GGGUUUAUGGUUUAGGGUUUGGGGAUUUCGACCCUUCUGGAACAAUUGGUGAUGGUCGCAAACCCUGAUUCAAUGCGUAGAGUGGAAUUUUGACAACAUUGGGAUUCGUGCCAUCAACAUUUUCAUAUAAAUCUGAUUCUAUUGCUUCCAAAACCAUUGUAGCUUGAGGUGCUGGAAGAUUUUGGGUUGUUUGGGGUUGAAAUCCACCGGGUAAAGGUUGUAUGUCG
rnacentral:lncRNA from 1 species